UACGUAGGCAGCGAGCGUUGUUCGGAGUUACUGGGCGUAAAGCGUGCGUAGGCGGUUUUGUAAGUUUGGUGUGAAAUCUCCCGGCUCAACUGGGAGGGUGCGCCGAAAACUGCAAGGCUGGAGUGUGGGAGAGGUAGGCGGAAUUCCUGGUGUAGCGGUGAAAUGCGUAGAUAUCGGGAGGAACACCAGUGGCGAAGGCGACUACCUGGCCUGUUCUUGACGCUGAGGCGCGAAAGCUAGGGGAGCAAACGGG
rnacentral:rRNA from 1 species